AUUUUCUUAAGGAAGUAGAGCUAAUUAAAUGACAUAAACAAAACCUGAAAGUGAUUCCAGUUUCACUCGAUGGCCAACCUGUUGAAACUGUGGUAAAUUUUAAAUUCCUUGUCAUUCCUGGACAGUCAGCUCAGUUUUGCUGAAAACACUGGCUAUAUCUUUAAGAACUAUUCUCAGAGACUCUGUCUUUUUAGACCCAGUGAUCUUUGGGUAGAGGUUGUUGAGUUAAAAUGUUAAAACUUUACGUUCUAACUAGAGUUUUAACUCAACUCAACUUUUAACUGUGGACUGUUUUAACUUUUCAUCUCCUUUGGUCACAUGAGCUGCAGACUAACAGACAAUAUUUUCAGAAAACUUUCAAUGGCAGGUAAAAUAGUAGGUAAUAGUUUGAGCUCAUGAAGGCCUUAUUGUUUUCCUCUGGUAACUAAGAACAUCGAUUAGAAGUCAUUUAUUGACAGAGCAAUAAUUAUUCUUAGCCAAACUAAAUGAUAACAUUUACCUGUAGCAUGCUAAGUGUUUUACUUGAUGCACAAAGUGUUGAUAUUGUGAUUCUAUGAAAGAGUUUUAUUUUAUCGUUUUAGAGUCAAAGAAAAAUUUCCACCUUGGAAGACUAAAUAGUUUAACCAGAUUUUUUCCUAAAUAUAAAACUCUACCAACAAAAAGUCUCAGAAUAAUAUACAUGGCACCGUAAAAAUAAAAAUGUAAAUUAUUGCUUG